AGGUGCAUGGAAAGAAGUAAUUCACAUAUAAAUUUCCUACAGUGUCUUAGUUUGUGCUGUUUGUAAGCAUAUGUAGCAGCCAUGUUGACCAGCGGAGGCACUGAAUCCUUGACAUUCUUUGUACUUGAAAUCACCUGGUCUUCUACUGGAGGCUGCUGGCUUCUUGACAGUGAGCUGAGGAUUUACCACUGGAACAGUGAAACUGACGAUGGAGAUACGGAAAACACCCACUCUCCGUUCUGACCAGAGAUGAGCCUCAGCUCUGCACAAGAGUCCCUUUACUGAAUCCACAAGAGAAGAAAAGCUUGAACGGAGCUGGAAAAUGAGGACAUCUUUUCCCUCGGCACCUUGGCUUCCAUCAGGAGAUGUAAUGGUAUAUGUCAAAUGCUAAGAAGACUACAGCAAUUCUGUAAGACAUAUGUAAGCAUCAGUAUUUCUUCAAGAAGAAUAGAAAAGCUCAGGGCAGAGGAGCCCAGCGUUGUGCUCAGGAUUGUACUUACAUUUGUGGAACCAAGGGAUAGAACAACUCCUGCGCCUGACAAAAAGUCCUCUCAUGCUUCUGCCUGCUUCAAGUGGAUUGUGCUACCUUCUCUUCUUCAGGAAAAUUAAUGUGUUACUGCAGAUAUACUGCUAAGGUCUUAUUAAAGCAAAUUA